GCACAAUGGGCGGAAGCCUGAUGCAGCAACGCCGCGUGAGUGAUGAAGGCCCUCGGGUCGUAAAACUCUUUUCAAGAGGAAGAGGAAGGACGGUACUCUUGGAAUAAGCCUCGGCUAACUACGUGCCAGCAGCCGCGGUAACACGUAGGAGGCGAGCGUUAUUUGGAUUUACUGGGCGUAAAGCGCGUGUAGGCGGCUGAUCAAGUUGGAUGUGAAAGCUCCCGGCUCAACUGGGAGGGGACGUUCAAAACUGAACAGCUUGAGUAUGAGAGAGGAAAAUGGAAUUCCGGGUGUAGCGGUGAAAUGCGUAGAUAUCCGGAGGAACACCGGUGGCGGAGGCGAUGUUCUGGCUCAAGACUGACGCUCAGACGCG
rnacentral:rRNA from 1 species